UACGUAGGGGGCUAGCGUUGUCCGGAAUCAUUGGGCGUAAAGCGCGUGUAGGCGGUCCGGUAAGUCCGCUGUGAAAGUCGGGGGCUCAACCCUCGAAUGCCGGUGGAUACUGUCUAGCUCGAGUCCGGAAGAGGAGUGUGGAAUUCCUGGUGUAGCGGUGAAAUGCGCAGAUAUCAGGAGGAACACCAAUGGCGAAGGCAGCACUCUGGGACGUGACUGACGCUGAGACGCGAAAGCGUGGGGAGCAAACAGG
rnacentral:rRNA from 1 species